rnacentral:rRNA from 1 species
AGGAAAGUAAAGAAGGGCGCAUGGCGGAUGCCUUGGCUCUCGGAGGCGAUGAAGGACGUGAUAAGCUGCGAUAAGCUUUGGGGAGGUGCAAAUGACCUUUGAUCCAGAGAUUUCCGAAUGGGACAACCCAAUAUCUUGAAGAGGUAUUAUCUUACUAUGUAAGAGGCUAACGCAGGGAACUGAAACAUCUUAGUACCUGCAGGAAAAGAAAAUAAACAAUGAUUCCCCCAGUAGUGGCGAGCGAACGGGGAACAGCCCAAACCAUCCAUGUUACGGCAUGGGUGGGGUUGUAGGACUACGCCGUUGCAUGAAGACAUCAGAGAAGAACUUUCUGGAAAGAAAGACCAUAGAGCAUGACAGUUGCGUAUUCGAAUGUUGUCGAAGCAUAGUAGUAUCCUGAGUAGCGCGGAGCACGAGGAAUUCUGCGUGAAUCUGCCGGGACCAUCCGGUAAGGCUAAAUACUCCCGAGAGACCGAUAGCGAACCAGUACCGUGAGGGAAAGGUGAAAAGCACUUCGAACAGAAGAGUGAAAUAGUUCCUGAAACCGUGCGCCUACAAGCGGUCGGAGCUCGUUAAUGAGUGACGGCGUGCCUUUUGCAUAAUGAACCUACGAGUUGCCUUUGCCGGCAAGGUUAAGUGUGACGACACACGUAUCCGAAGCGAAAGCGAGUCUGAACAGGGCGUAUAGUCGGCAGUGGCAGACGCGAAACCAAGUGAUCUACCCUUGGCCAGGUUGAAGGCUGGGUAACACCAGCUGGAGGACCGCACCAAUAAGCGUUGAAAAGCUUCUGGAUGAGCUGAGGGUAGGGGUGAAAGGCUAAUCAAACUUGGAGAUAGCUCGUACUCCCCGAAAUGCAUUUAGGUGCAGCCUUGCGGGUUACUGAUGUGAGGUAGAGCGACUGAUAAGAUGCGAGGGCUUCACCGCCUAUCAAGUCUUGACAAACUCCGAAUGCGCAUCAGUUCUACCGCAGGAGUGAGGGCAUGGGUGCUAAGGUCCGUGCCCGAGAGGAGAAGAAUCCGGACCACCUGCUAAGGUCCCGAAAUGACAGCUAAGUUAAACUAACGAAGUCUGACUGCUAAGACAGCUAGGAUGUUGGCUUGGAAGCAGCCAUUCAUUUAAAGAGUGCGUAACAGCUCACUAGUCGAGGAGUCGGGCGUGGAUAAUAAUCGGGUAUUAAGUUGUCUACCGAAGCAGUGGGAUCAUUAAUAUGAUCGGUAGGGGAGCAUUCCAGUCGGCGUCGAAGGCGUACCGUGAGGUAUUCUGGAGCGUCUGGAAAAGCAAAUGUAGGUAUAAGUAACGAUAAAGGGGGCGGGAAACCCCCUCGCCGAAAGACUAAGGUUUCCUGAUCAACGCUAAUCGGAUCAGGGUCAGUCGGGUCCUAAGGCUCAGCCGAACGGCGAUGCCGAUGGCAGAAACGGUUAAUAUUCCGUUACUACCUUCAGGAGUGACGUGGAGACGCAGUAGUGACAGUGCCGCCAUCUGACGGAAUAGAUGGUUGAAGGGUGUAGGAGUCGAUCAUGGCAGGCAAAUCCACCAUGAGAUCCGAACCUGACAGUAUGCCGCGUCCUUCGGGACAAGGCAAUAGUGCGCGUAAGCAUGCUGCCGAGAAAAUCCGCUAAACUUAAUCCUGCAGGUACCCGUACCGCAAACGGACACACGUAGUCGGGAUGAAUAUUCUAAGGCGCUUGAGUGAUUCACGGUUAAGGAACUAGGCAAACUGACCCUGUAACUUCGGGAUAAAGGGUCCCUACCCUUUUAUGGGAGGGCGCAGAGAAUCGGUCCAGGCAACUGUUUAACAAAAACACAGGGCUGUGCCAAAUCGAAAGAUCCAGUAUACAGCCUGACACCUGCCCGGUGCUGGAAGGUUAAGAGGAGAUGUCAUCGAUAAGAGAAGCGUUGAAUUGAAGCCCCAGUAAACGGCGGCCGUAACUAUAACGGUCCUAAGGUAGCGAAAUUCCUUGUCGGGUAAGUUCCGACCUGCACGAAUGGUGUAAUGAUCUGGACGCUGUCUCAACCGUGAGCUCAGUGAAAUUGUAGUAUCGGUGAAGAUGCCGAUUACCCGCGAUGGGACGAAAAGACCCCGUGAACCUUUACUAUAGCUUAUCAUUGAAUCUGGGCACGUGAUGUGUAGGAUAGGUCGGAGGCUUUGAAGCAGGUACGCCAGUAUUUGUGGAGCCGCUGUUGAAAUACGACCCUUUAUUUGUUUGGAUUCUAACCCGUGGAUACGGGGACAUUGAUUGGUGGGUAGUUUGACUGGGGUGGUCGCCUCCAAAAGCGUAACGGAGGCUUCUAAAGGUGCCCUCCGGCCGAUUGGUAACCGGCCUUAGAGUGUAAUGGCAUAAGGGCGCUUGACUGGGAGACUGACAAGUCGAUCAGGUAGGAAACUAGAGCAUAGUGAUCCGGUGUUUCCGUAUGGAAGGGACAUCGCUCAAAGGAUAAAAGGUACUCCGGGGAUAACAGGCUGAUCCCUCCCAAGAGCUCAUAUCGACGGAGUGGUUUGGCACCUCGAUGUCGGCUCGUCACAUCCUGGGGCUGGAGAAGGUCCCAAGGGUUGGGCUGUUCGCCCAUUAAAGUGGCACGCGAGCUGGGUUCAGAACGUCGUGAGACAGUUCGGUCUCUAUCUAUCGUGGGCGUAUGAAAUUUGCGUGGCUCUGACACUAGUACGAGAGGACCGUGUUGGACAGACCUCUGGUUUGCCGGUUGUGCCGCCAGGUGCAUUGCCGGGUAUCUAAGUCUGGAUCGGAUAAGUGCUGAAAGCAUCUAAGUACGAAGCCGGCCACAAGAUUAGAUUUCUCAGGGUCGUUGUAGACUACGACGUUGAUAGGAUGCAGGUGUAAAGGUAGAGAUACCAAAGCCGAGCAUUACUAAUUGCCCGUUCACUUUCCUUA